rnacentral:rRNA from 1 species
GGGGUCAGUAGGUUGGUCGUGCCACCGGUACGUACUGGUCUCACUGAUUCCUCCUUCCUGAAGAACCGUAAUGCCAUUAAUUUGGUGUUGCGGGGAAACAGGACUGUUACUUUGAAAAAAUUAGAGUGUUUAAAGCAAGCUAACGCUUGAAUACAUUAGCAUGGAAUAAUGAAAUAGGACGAUCGAUCCUAUUUUGUUGGUUCCUAGGAUUGACGUA